UACGUAGGGGGCAAGCGUUGUCCGGAAUUAUUGGGCGUAAAGCGCGUGUAGGCGGCCAGAAAAGUCCGCUGUGAAAACUCGAGGCUCAACUUCGAGCUGUCGGUGGAAACUUUCUGGCUAGAGUCCGGAAGAGGAGAAUGGAAUUCCUGGUGUAGCGGUGAAAUGCGCAGAUAUCAGGAGGAACACCAAUUGCGAAGGCAGCUCGCUGGGACGUUACUGACGCUGAGACGCGAAAGCGUGGGGAGCGAACAGG
rnacentral:rRNA from 1 species